GUAAUUCCAUUUAUGGGGUAUAAGUCCUCCCCUUUACA
rnacentral:tRNA from 1 species